UACGAAGGGGGCUAGCGUUGCUCGGAAUCACUGGGCGUAAAGGGUGCGUAGGCGGGUCUUUAAGUCAGGGGUGAAAUCCUGGAGCUCAACUCCAGAACUGCCUUUGAUACUGGGAAGCUUGAGUCCGGAAGAGGUGAGUGGAACUCCGAGUGUAGAGGUGAAAUUCGUAGAUAUUCGGAAGAACACCAGUGGCGAAGGCGGCUCCCUGGUCCGGUACUGACGCUGAGGUGCGAAAGCGUGGGGAGCGAACAGG
rnacentral:rRNA from 1 species